ACUCCCCCCGAACACGUCCAUCGUUCCAUCCGUGUCUGGAGACUUGUUCACACUGGUGUGUAGAAGUGACUCCAACCCCAACAGCUCUUACACCUGGUACAAGAAAACAGAAGGAGAUGUGAUACUGAUUGAAAAUGGCACCAAUUUAACUUUAUCCUCGAGAGCAGAUGGAUUUUACUACUGUACAGCAAGCAAUGGAUUUGGAUCAUCCAAUUCAUCAGAAUGGCCAUGUACAUCAGAUACAGAUAACAGUGUCGUAAAUACGCCGCUUCUGGAGUCACUGUUGCGUUGGUUCUGUUGGUUCUGUUGUUCAUUGCGGUCUUUCUGUGGAUACGGAGAAGAGCGUCGUUGUUCAGUAACAGGAGUGAGGAUAACAGCAUGAACAACUCUGCCCCUGUGUAUGGUAACGUCUCAGCCAUGACCUCUGACCCCACACAAACAGCCUCCUCAGAAGAUCAGGACAACCUUCAGUACUCCAGUGUU
ensembl:lncRNA